AACGGUAGCACAAGAGGGAAGCUUGCUCCUUGGGUGACGAGUGGCGGACGGGUGAGUAAUGUCUGGGAAACUGCCCGAUGGAGGGGGAUAACUACUGGAAACGGUAGCUAAUACCGCAUAACGUCGCAAGACCAAAGAGGGGGACCUUCGGGCCUCUUGCCAUCGGAUGUGCCCAGAUGGGAUUAGCUAGUAGGUGGGGUAACGGCGGGCGGAGGCAACGAUCCCUAGCUGGUCUGAGAGGAUGACCAGCCACACUGGAACUGAGACACGGUCCAGACUCCUACGGGAGGCAGCAGUGGGGAAUAUUGCACAAUGGGCGCAAGCCUGAUGCAGCCAUGCCGCGUGUAUGAAGAAGGCCUUCCGGGUUGUAAGCCACUUUCGGCGAUGAGGAACNCAUU
rnacentral:rRNA from 1 species